UGAAGCCCGGACGUCCCAGGAUGCGAGUGCCCAGUGGGCCACUUUUGGUAAGCAGAAUGGCGCUGUGGGAUGAACCAAACGCUGGGUUAAGGCGCCCGAUGCCAGACGCUCAUCAGAUCCCAUGAAAGGUGUUGGUUGCUAUAGACAGCAGGACGGUGGCCAUGGAAGUCGGAAUCCGCUAAGGAGUGUGUAACAACUCACCUGCCGAAGCAACUAGCCCUGAAAAUGGAUGGCGCUGUAGCGUCGAGCCCAUACCCGGCCGCCCCGGCUGGGCACGGAAGCUUAGGCCGGGGUGAGUAGGAGGUGUCGCAGCGGCGUGCGUUGAAGGUGCCGGGCGUGGGCCCGCCUGGAGCCGCCGCUGGUGCAGAUCUUGGUGGUAGUAGCAAAUACUCAAGUGAGAACCUUGAGGAUGAAAGUGGAGAAGGGUUCCAUGUGAACAGCAGUUGAACAUGGGUCAGUCGGUCCUAAGGGAUAGGAGAAAUCCGUUCCGAAGCGGGACCUGCGUGCACCGUGAGGUCCCGUGGUCGACCGAAAGGGAAUCGGGUUAAUAUUCCCGAACUCGGACGCGGAGAUCGGCCCCUCGGGGUCAACUGCGGUAACGCAACCAAACUCGGAGACGUCGAUCGGGGUCCCGGGAAGAGUUGUCUUUUCUUUGUAAGGGAUCGGCUCCCUGGAAUCGGCUCGCCCGGAGAUAGGGAUGCUGUUCCCGUAAAGCACCGCGGCUCUUGCGGUGUCCGGAGCGCUCCGGUCGGCCCUUUAAAAUCCGAGGGAGAGUGUGAUUUUCGUGCCGGACCGUACCCAUAUCCGCAGCAGGUCUCAAAGGUGAAAGCCCUCUAGUCA
rnacentral:rRNA from 1 species